GACGAACGCUGGCGGCGUGCCUAAUACAUGCAAGUAGAACGCUGAAGAGAGGAGCUUGCUCUUCUUGGAUGAGUUGCGAACGGGUGAGUAACGCGUAGGUAACCUGCCUGGUAGCGGGGGAUAACUAUUGGAAACGAUAGCUAAUACCGCAUAAAAUGGAUUAUCGCAUGAUAAUCCAUUGAAAGGUGCAAAUGCAUCACUACCAGAUGGACCUGCGUUGUAUUAGCUAGUUGGUGGGGUAACGGCUCACCAAGGCGACGAUACAUAGCCGACCUGAGAGGGUGAUCAGCCACACUGGGACUGAGACACGGCCCAGACUCCUACGGGAGGCAGCAGUAGGGAAUCUUCGGCAAUGGACGGAAGUCUGACCGAGCAACGCCGCGUGAGUGAAGAAGGGUUUCGGAUCGUAAAGCUCUGUUGUAAGAGAAGAACGAGUGUGAGAGUGGAAAGUUCACACUGUGACGGUAUCUUACCAGAAAGGGACGGCUAACUACGUG
rnacentral:rRNA from 1 species